AGCGAACGUUAGCGGCGCGCCUAACACAUGCAAGUCGCACGAGAAAGGGGGCAACCCCCGGUACAGUGGCGCACGGGUGAGUAACACGUAGAUGACCUUCCCUGGAGUGGUGGAUAACCUGCCGAAAGGCGGGCUAAUACAGCAUGGGACCACAUGGUUUUGACCGAGUGGUGAAAGCGGGCCUCUGUUCACAAGCUCGCGCUCUGGGAUGGGUCUGCGGCCCAUCAGCUAGUUGGUGAGGUAACGGCUCACCAAGGCAACGACGGGUAGCUGGUCUGAGAGGAUGACCAGCCACACUGGAACUGAGACACGGUCCAGACUCCUACGGGAGGCAGCAGUGGGGAAUCUUGCGCAAUGGGCGAAAGCCUGACGCAGCGACGCCGCGUGGGUGAUGAAGGCCCUCGGGUUGUAAAGCCCUGUGGGGAGGAACGAACCGUUCGGGGGUGAAUAUCCUCCGAGCCUGACGGUACCUCCUUAGCAAGCAUCGGCUAACUCUGU
rnacentral:rRNA from 1 species